rnacentral:misc_RNA from 1 species
GGAAAAUCCACCCACCUUCCCCCCAAAAGAUCUCCCCUAAUCCCUUCUCUUUCUCCUCCAAAUGGGUUCCUUCAAUACCUCUGUAACUUCAAAUGUCCACCACCGCCACUGCCAUCCCCGCUAUUUCUUCACCCGUCACCACCACUGCUCCUCCUUCCUCCACUUACCUCACCAAUCUCGGUCUUGGCUAUUCCAUAGCCAUAGCCCUUGGUUUCCUUUUCCUCCUCUCCACUUUACUCCUUGCUUCCUACAUCUGCUGCCGUGACUCUCGCAACCGCUCCCACAAUGCAAACAACAACGAUAACAACCGAAACAACAACCCGAAUUCUCUCUCUGAUGGCAUAAUUCUCCCUCGCAUUAUCUUCGUGGCUGAAGAGGAGAGUGACCUUGAACGUGACCAAGAAAGUGCAACAAUUGGCCUCGACCAGGCGGUGAUCAAUUCAUAUCCGAAAUUUCAGUUCACUAAAGAUGGGAGUUUGGACGGAAAUAGUACUACUUGCCCGAUCUGUUUGUGCGAGUACAAGGAUUUCGAGAUGCUAAGAAUGAUGCCGGAGUGCAGACAUUAUUUUCACUUGUGUUGUAUCGAUGCUUGGCUGAAACUUAAUGGGUCUUGUCCGGUAUGUCGGAACUCACCGCUUCCGACUCCGCUGUCUACGCCAUUGUCGGAGGUGGUGCCACUGUCGCAGUACGCUGCUGAUCGAAGGAGGAGGAGGUGAUUUGAUCUUGUUUGGUUGUUUUUGGAGUGGUGGUGAGUGAUUUGGGGGUCUUUUAUCGUGUGUUUUGGGAUUGAAAUUGUAAAUUUUGUUAAUUUCUGAAUAGGCAUAGGUAGUGGGAUUUUGGAUUUUCAUUUUUUUGUUACUGAUAAAUUGUGAUUUUGGUUUGCUAAGGCAGAGAAUGGAAAACAAACUACUUUCUGUGUUACUGUUUCAUUACAGUGAAGUGAACUAAACAAUUUUCCAC